rnacentral:rRNA from 1 species
CCUACGGGUGGCAGCAGUGGGGAAUAUUGGGCAAUGGGCGCAAGCCUGACCCAGCAACGUAGCGUGCAGGAUGACGGCUCUCGGGUUGUAAACUUGUUUUCUCAGGGACGAAUAGAUGACUGUGUCUGAGGAAUAAGCCACGGCUAACUACGUGCCAGCAGCCGCGGUAAUACGGAGGGGGCAAGCUUUAUCCGGAUUUAUUGGGUGUACAGGGAGUGUAGGCGGGGACGGAAGCGAGAUGUGAAAACCACGGGCUCAACCUGUGGCCUGCAGCGCAAACUGUGGUUCUUGAGUACUCGGGAGGCAGACGGAAUUCGUAGUGUAGCGGUGAAAUGCUUAGAUAUGAGGAGGAACCCCAGUGGCGAAGGCGGCUUGCUGGAGAGGAACUGACGCUGAUGCGCGAAAGCGCGGGGAGCAAACAGGAUUAGAUACCCUUGUAGUC